rnacentral:rRNA from 1 species
AUGGAAAUGAGGAAAAAGCUAUACAUUCUAUCUUUCACUGUUGAAGGUCUUGAACAAGUGGGUGCUGAUUAUCCUAAUGAUGAUAAUGGACCUACUGAUAUAGAUGUGGAUGGCUUUAAAAAUGAUCUUGAUGUGGGUGAUACUGACAAGGACCGCUUGGAAGAUGGUGAGGAUGGUUUUGAUGAACUGGAUCUAGCUAAUAGAGCUAGCACCUCUGAAAACCCACCUGCUAGUAAAGGUAAGGAGUGCACCACCUUUCAUCCUCCUGCAUUGGUGGAAGCUUACUAUACUCCUUGCAAAAAACCUGAGGAUAAUGUGGCGAAAGAAAGUUGUGAGACUGUUGUCAUCCUCCCCUUUGCUGAACCUAUCAAACUUCUAGAUGGGCCUGAGAUGAACACACCUGAUCCUCAAGCUGAAGCUGAUUUUGCUGACACUAUUGGCAGUCUUGCAGUUUCUACCCAGAAAAUAUACUGCUCUGGCCUACUGAGAGAUUUUAAUAGCUAUGGUUCAGAUACUGCCACUGAAGCUGGAGAUACUGAUAGUGAAAUGGAGACCUUAAAUGAGCCAGUCAUGAACUGUCUGAAGAUGCUGGAGUUGAGGAACAAGGUCAGAAAUGAUACUGCUGGUAACAAUAUCCCUCCCCCCUCCCUUCAAGAAAAACAUCUCUGGUAA